GUCACCAUGGUGUAGUGGUUAUCACGUGUGCCUCACACGCACAAGGUCCGCGGUUCGAGCCCGCGUGGUGACA